rnacentral:misc_RNA from 1 species
GCAGAGCUAACCAAGAAUGUAGAAGUUACUCCUACUAAAAACGCCGAACCUGUGAAUGAUGCUGAAGGAGAGACCAAGGAGAGCGAACCACAGAGUGUGAAAGAGGUUGAAAUCUCAGGAGAUGCCGAAGAUCAGAAACUGAAAGAUGUUACUACUGAAGAGCCUCAAGGUAAGUCUGAGAAUACUGAGGUGUCUGAAGGUGUGACUGGGAUUGCUG